GACUCGUCACACUAUCAUUAACUGAAUCCAUAGGUUAAUGAGGCGAACCGGGGGAACUGAAACAUCUAAGUACCCCGAGGAAAAGAAAUCAACCGAGAUUCCCCCAGUAGCGGCGAGCGAACGGGGAGGAGCCCAGAGCCUGAAUCAGCAUGUGUGUUAGUGGAAGCGUCUGGAAAGGCGCGCGAUACAGGGUGACAGCCCCGUACACAAAAGCGCAUGUGCUGUGAGCUCGAUGAGUAGGGCGGGACACGUGGUAUCCUGUCUGAAUAUGGGGGGACCAUCCUCCAAGGCUAAAUACUCCUGACUGACCGAUAGUGAACCAGUACCGUGAGGGAAAGGCGAAAAGAACCCCGGCGAGGGGAGUGAAAAAGAACCUGAAACCGUGUACGUACAAGCAGUGGGAGCACAGGUUUACCUGUGUGACUGCGUACCUUUUGUAUAAUGGGUCAGCGACUUAUAUUCUGUAGCAAGGUUAACCGUAUAGGGGAGCCGGAGGGAAACCGAGUCUUAAUUGGGCGUUAAGUUGCAGGGUA
rnacentral:rRNA from 1 species